rnacentral:lncRNA from 1 species
AAAUAUAAUUCUACAUUUCUGAACUAACUUAGAUAUCCUCCUAGAAAAUAUGAAUUAUAAGUCCACUUCACGAUCAUAAUCUUUUCGUACUUCUCUCAUUUGCAACUUAAAAUGGAUCAACAAAUAUAUAUAAGGGGAUAUUAGUAAAUACCGGCACCAACAAUUAGACCUUGAGUUUCCUUCUUUCCUUUUUUUUUUUUUUUUUUUUUUUUUUUUUUUUUUUUUUUUCUA